AUACGUAGGGGGCGAGCGUUGUCCGGAAUGAUUGGGCGUAAAGGGCGCGUAGGCGGCGCGGUAAGUCUGGAGUGAAAGUCCUGCUUUCAAGGUGGGAAUUGCUUUGGAUACUGCCGCGCUUGAGUGCAGGAGAGGUUAUCGGAAUUCCCGGUGUAGCGGUGAAAUGCGUAGAGAUUGGGAGGAACACCAGUGGCGAAGGCGACUUACUGGACUGUAACUGACGCUGAGGCGCGAAAGUGUGGGGAGCAAACAGGAUUAGAUACCCUGGUAGUCCACACUGUAAACGAUGAAUGCUAGGUGUAGGGGGUAUCGACCCCUUCUGUGCCGCAGCCAACACAAUAAGCAUUCCGCCUGGGGAGUACGGCCGCAAGGUUGAAACUCAAAGGAAUUGACGGGG
rnacentral:rRNA from 1 species